GACGAACGCUGGCGGCGUGCUUAACACAUGCAAGUCGAACGGAAAGGCCCUGCUUUUGUGGGGUGCUCGAGUGGCGAACGGGUGAGUAACACGUGAGUAACCUGCCCUUGACUUUGGGAUAACUUCAGGAAACUGGGGCUAAUACCGGAUAGGAGCUCCUGCUGCAUGGUGGGGGUUGGAAAGUUUCGGCGGUUGGGGAUGGACUCGCGGCUUAUCAGCUUGUUGGUGGGGUAGUGGCUUACCAAGGCUUUGACGGGUAGCCGGCCUGAGAGGGUGACCGGCCACAUUGGGACUGAGAUACGGCCCAGACGCCUACGGGAGGCAGCAGUGGGGAAUAUUGCACAAUGGGCGGAGGCCUGAUGCAGCAACGCCGCGUGCGGGAUGACGGCCUUCGGGUCGUAAACCGCUUUCGCCUGUGACGAAGCGUGAGUGACGGUAAUGGGUAAAGAAGCACCGGCUAACUACGUG
rnacentral:rRNA from 1 species